AUAGCCAUUAAUGGCUUCAAAUAAACUAUUGUAAUCAAGUCAUUCCUUUUCUCCUAUGUAUCAUGCCAAUGUAUUAAAUUUUUUAUAUCAAAUUUUAAUAUAUAUUGAGUAAAAUAUGUGACGUCAACUUCCAUUAGAUUAUAUUUAUAAAUGUAUUUUAUAUUAGAAUUAUUAUAAUAUGAUUUAAAUAUGGCUUACUAAUUUUAAAAUAUAUUAGAUAAAAAUAAUUUUGUGACGGUGCGAUUU
rnacentral:lncRNA from 1 species